UGAAAAUCAGAACGCAAUCGCAGUCAAAACGUACUGCAAUUGCGUACCUACUCGUGCAGUUUUCCUGCAUUGCGCACACGACGCAUCCAGAGCGCCCGUGUAAAUGAGGCCUAAUAAUUAUUUUGUUCACUGGACUCAAAAGACUCUGGCCUUUACCCCUGCUUCACACUUCCACAUGAGCCUGUCCCUUGCGGAAUCACGCUCCGUAUGAGAGGGGGAUUGUGUGUUCUGAACUUAGGAAGCGCAGCCUCUGCCCAACCUUUGUGUAACGGAAUCAUACCGACGUACAGCUUUAUGUCAGUAUGAUUCUGUAGAAGAGAGGGCAGAGACACACAGCAUUAUAAAUCAUGAUAAUACCCUGCGCUUCCCAAAUCCAGAACACAUGAUCCCUCUCUCACGCGGAGCGCGAUUCCCGUAAGGGACACGCUGGUGUGGUAGAGCCCUGAUGCCAUCACUUGCCUGCCUUUUAUAGUUAUUUCCACGCUGUCUUGCCUCUGAAUAAACAAAGGAAUCUUCUCAAAGAAGUUUCUUGUUGCUGCGUCCGAUUUCCAACCUGAUGACCAGGACGACUACAAAUACAAUGGCCACGAUACACGCGCUCAUCUCUAUUAUACGGUUAGGGUCCAGUCACACACCCACAAGUGUUCUGCGGUCCGCAAAUCUCGGAUCCACAAAACGUGCACACUGGCCGUGGGAUAGAAAUGCCUCUCUCUUUUGGGGGGCCGUGGACAGGUACUUGAAAUGAACAGGUCCGCACCGGUUCUGCGAAAUUGCGGAACGGAUGCAGACCCAUUCAUGCGGACCCUAAGGCCAUAUUCACACACCGCAGAGACUGACCGGGUGUAGGUGCAGAUUCCAACCUGAUACCAAUACAUGCCAAUGAAUUACAAUGGGGCCAAGCAUGACAGAAUUCAGAGUUUUAGUGGAUUUUUGCUAGUAGAAAAUGCCAUGUGAACACAGCUCUAUAGAAGGGUGCUGGGGCCACUGGGUCCUCCGAAGUCUCACGGAAAGUUAUCAAGCUGAGGAGUUGCCCAUAGCGAUCAUCCGCAAAGCGAAAGCAGUGACGUCAACGGUUACCAUGACAACAGCUCCUCCUCUUCACUGUAUUAUGUAUUUCACUCGCAAUCAGCACUGUCAAACCUAAUCCUUCCACGUGACGCAGAACACCCCGCCCCUCUCGCCUCCCAUUGGCUGCCUGUCGGACAUUACGCUGCGAUGUUAACCAAUCACAACCACGAGCUAAUAACCGGAAGGCCUAACUUUACCGCCCUUCUCCCGGUCCCCCCCAAACCAAGCCGGGGACACCCGCGGAUCACCCGUCACGUCGGUUAAUCCCGUCCCCGCAACACGCCGCUUAGCAUGGCCAUGCAAAAAGUUUUCUUUAUGGAGGUUCCAGCAGAGUGUCUGAUAGCCCAGACGCGUUUCGGGAUAGUUCCAAUCCCUUACUCAGUGGUGAAUUACCGGUAACUUUAUCCUUGAAGGACAAUAAUUUGUUUCUACGGUGUUCUGAGGAAUGCUCGGUUAUCUCUCUACCUCAUCAUGUAAAUUGAAGCUUAACUUUCCUUCAAUAUGUGCGUUUGAAAAGUCACCAGGCAGAUGAAAUUUUUUUGUCUUUUGGUUAAUUAUAAUUUUUUUUUUUAACAGACACACUUUGAGGCUUAUUUUAAUUAACAAAAUGCCAAACUGCUUUGUAGAAAAUUGUAAAAGCUCCUGGAAACUAAACGAUCCGUAUAAAAUGAUGCACUCUUUUCCAAGGGACAGGAAUUUGAUUAGAGAAUGGCUUGGCCGCCUCCCCAACCAAAACCUAAAUGUCGAUCAGACUGUGGACCAUAUAUUUGCCAGUCAGCAAGGCAAGUAUCGGAUUUGUUCAAAACAUUUCAGCAUGGACAGCUAUUACCUAUUCAAAGGUUCCCCAAGAUUACGAAAAGGAGUAAUUCCAACCAUUUUUAUGGAGUCGCUAUGUACUGAUAGCCAGGAACAAUCUCGGUUACUGCCACACGAUUCCACCCCAAAUAAUGGACAUGAAAAACAAAAACCAUGUACCGUAUCGCGCUUCGUGGAACACAGCUAUGCUUCACCAACGCAACCUGUUAUUAUCGGGAUUGAAACGCUUGUUAAUUCCGAUGACCAGGUACAGACAACGGAAGUCAUCACUAUGUCAAUAGAUUCAGCAAGCGAAAUUACAUUGUAUUUACCACAGAGUUAAACAAAAAAAGCAUUGCUUGGUCUCUUAACCCAAAAUUGGUAGAAGAAAUGUUGGAAUGAAAUUCCGUUUUCUGGAUGGUGCUCAUAACAAACGUGUCUAAUGGGCAUCCGUAGCAAUGUACCAAUUCUGUGUUACAUAACACAAUUGCCGGAACUUUGAGUUGACGAACCAGUUACCAGAAACAAUAAUGGGGUCGUUUAUCAAACUGGUGUAAAGUAGAACGGGCUUAG